GUCAAUAUGGCCGAGCGGUUAAGGCGAUAGAUUUGAAAUCUAUUGGGAUUUUCCCGCAGCGGUUCAAAUCCGCUUGUUGACG